AUUAUCCGAAGCGCUCUGAAUCAGCAAGCGGAGAAAUGCUAAACAUGAGACUUUCUUUGGUCUCAUGUCCGUCCCUUUCCAGCGUGGGACUGCCAUUUUAUUAAAAAAAUAAAAUAAUUUUACAUUUUUCUACUUUGACAGACCUAGACCUGCGUUUUCAACAUUUUUCCCCAAAAUUUUCCCCAUUUUCUCCCUCAAAAAUCUCCUUCCCCCAUUUUUCGGCUGAUCUCCCCCAUUUUCGGCAGAUCUCUUCCCUUUUCUGGCGCCGACCGAAAAUCUGCCCAUAUCCACUGCCGACCGAGCUCCCCCUAUUUCCAGUGUCAACUGAUCUCAAACCGUCUCCAACCAAGGUCUCCACUUCCUUCUCCAAGGUCUUCACUUGCGCCUUCUGAAAUUAGGAAAAAUUGAAAGAGAAAAAACCUACAUUGACGGAAUCACUUACUCAAACUCUGCAAGCAAUGCAUAGGGUUGGAUGCUUAAAUCUUGUUGAUAUUAUUGAAGGCAG